UCUCUCUUCUCCACCCCAUUUUCGGUCAUCUCUCUCUCCCCUUCAUCUCUCUACUUUCCUCCAUUGUUAGCCAUUGAUGAAACCUCCGAAGCUCUACCAAGUAUGCCAAACACAUAAAUCACUACUUAAAUCCUCCAUAAACACAUCCUAUUAACUUAAAUCCAAGAGAAUCCUUGAAGAUUGGUUUCAAGAAUAGUGAGAGAAAAUUUGGAUAAUUGGUGAAAACUUGGACACGAGCAGAGCAAGGAAGUAAGUAACUCCACUUUGACGGGAGUUUUUGAGUAAGGUCUUCAGGCUAAGCGAGGAGUGAGAUUGGUCUGGUGCUGGUGGGGAAUCGUUAGAUGACGUAUUUACUUUAUCGUAUUUCCUUUUUAUCGAUAAAGUCUUGAUGUGAAGUUACUUUGAAUAUGAAUCAAGUAAUAUACUCACGGUUAUGUGUCUCCAUACAUGUAACUGGUUCGCCUUUUGCUGCGAUACUCUGCAUAUUAUGUUUCCUUAUGAAAAAUAAGCUAUACCUGUUUUAUUUUUAUUCGUGAAAUUCCUGAUAAUUAAAAAGUUACAACGACGUUGACGAUUUUACCCUUGGGUUCAAUUGAUAAUAUUUUCCUUAGCAUGCUUUGAUGUGAGCUUCCGCUUGAUGUUCGACCUAUUCUUCUUAUCUUUUAUUCUUUAAAAAUAGUCGUAUCGACACUCGUACCCCACUAUCACUAGUGUCGGGAUUUCGGGCUGCGACAGGGUGGUAUCAGAGCAGGUCAUCUGCUCUGAGUCUAUUGCUUGACUGAGUUGAACCUUUGAUUACUGGUAUCUUUUUAACUUGAGUACUAGUCUAAUUUGAAUUCUUAGGCUAGUUUGAGAGAGUCAGUUUGAAACGAAACCCCAGCACCCCAUCUCCUCCGGCUUAACGAGGUAAGAGGUUGAUGUUGUUUCUUAUUGCUUUUCUGUUAAAAGCUGAGUUUGGGUUACUAAUGAGUUAUGAAUUGUUUUGAUGACGGAAUUAUUUGAGAUGAUGGAAUCUGAUAUGAGGCAGUUGAUGUGGAAUAUGAGGAGGAAUGUUGAGGCUAGUAUAGCCGAUGCCCCACCGUACCAAACGAGGACGAGAUGCCGAGUCAUAUCGAGACAGCGAUGCAGCGAUGGUUCAGGGAGUAUAUCCCGGACGAGGAUGACACCUUGGGUGAACUUCUGGCACACUAUCACCGACGAUGGAGGAGGGCUAUUCCCUAUGGGAUCGAUGGCGCGGAGGCCAUUACGCUUUUGAUUCCACUACUGCCACCUUUGUGGCGAGACUGGGCGACAUCUUUAGUGCCCCAGUACGUAGAUACUACCUGGUUGGAGGGCAUCAGGUACGGAGACCUUAGUGGCUUCAUCGCGAC